AGUUGCUUCGAAUGACUUGAGGAACCCGCCACUUUCAGAUUGCGAGACAUUUUUGGGAUACCCUGUAUUAUAGUACGUGAAGUUAUACCAAUAACUGUUGUCGAAUCGAUAUACAAUAAUGAAUAACGAAUGUUGGUCGAAAGAUCGUGUAAAUAAAUUGACAGUGUUUGUAGAUUGUAAUACGGUUCCAGUUACUUUGACGAAGUAAUGUAAUGUAAGUAAUUCUACGUUUUUAUAUGUUAUUAUACCGUGUGAAAAGCUUGUAUGACGUUAUCUUUCUAAAUACAUUUUCCAAUUGGUGUAAUGUAGAAGUAGAUAGAACUGAGAGAAAAUGGUCUUGUAACCGUUUUGGUUGGGAUACGUGCAAACAUAAUGUAAUACUUCGUACGAAGUUUAUUAUACAGCCGGACUUUGUACGUUUAUGCUGUACGAUCAUGUUUAUACUCGCGCGUUAGCCGUGAGAUAAUAUAUAUUAUAUACAGAGAUAGUGAUAAUGAUAUACUGUAAAUAAAUUCGUACAGAAUUCAGAUUUUAACAAAUUGGAACAAACUGUAUUCUUUUGUAGUUACGAAGACCUUCACCGAAGCUCUUGCUUCUUAUUUUAUGAUUUUAUCUUAUCUGAAAAAUCUUAUCUUCCGUUUAAUUAUUGCUAUUGUCAUCGAAGUUUCUAUAUAAUUUGCCACUCUAGAAAUAAUCAAAAGACUGGAACAAGAUUACAAAAUUCAUUUAUCGCAUUAUCUGACACCUGACUUGCAUCAUCUAAAAAAAUUGUUCAUGCUAUCGAAGAAAUGGAGUUGAUAUACUGAAACAGAAAUUAUUCAUAAUUCAGUAUGAUCGACCUGCUCACGAUGUCUUAAAAUCGUCUCGAAUGCGUAAAAACAGUGGUUUCGUGCAAUCUGUGAAACGUCACAAAAUCAUCCAAGUACACAGUCUGCAAAAAAAUAAGAAGAUACGCAACAUAUGAUGACAGUGAAUAUCCUGAAAUUUCCAUCACGCUCGUAAGCACGGCCUACCGCAGUCCCGACCGCGCAUCAAAGUCUCCGGGACGCAGGAGCGGUAGCUGUCGCUCCGUUGAUGAAGACAACCCAUACGUCGCCGGUUCCGUGGAUUCAGCAGCCGUCAGGACGCAUUAUCGCAUCGCGUGGAGCCUGACAAAUCACAGUGGGUGCUCAACCAAAUGACUUGCAACCUCUGCGCGCGGCUCUUACGAAACGGAACAGGGGCUGGAUGGACCCUCGAGUUCCUCGAGAGGAACGAAGUGCCUCUCCGGCCGUGGCGAUGCCACGCUCUCGAGGCAGAUCGCUUCAGAAAAACCUUGUGUCCUUACGUUGCAACUAGAGAGCUGCAUCCUCCGACGUGUAAUUAUCGUCGGCGCGUAAUCACCUUAAAAUAAUGGGUUAGACGAGGCGGCGACUUUUUGCCCGAACCUUGAUGGAACUCGGGGGCGGCUGUGCCGAGGCCUGAACCGUCGCCAAUGAUUCGACCGUCUUCGGGGUACUCCACACUCUUGAUAGCGUCGAAGACGGCGAAAGCAAAUGUAGCCGGUGAUGAGACUCGGCACGAUGAUUCCCGUUCUCGAGUAUCUACGGUUUCGUCGGCGGCUGCGACGUUCGCACGUGGAUCGGAAUUCUUCGUAGAUGCGAAGAGGUUUUUAUCGGAAUUGCGACGAUCGGGCGCUUUUUAAGCGGUCUAGAGAUAAUUAAUUGAUUUCAACUCGAGGAUUCAAUUAUCCUUUUCGAUUCAUUCUCGUGGAAUUCAACAAUUUUUAGAAAUGCUACUUGUAUAAUCUAUUAAAUACUGAUUUUAUUC